UACGAAGGGGACUAGCGUUGUUCGGAAUCACUGGGCGUAAAGCGCACGUAGGCGGAUUCGUAAGUCAGGGGUGAAAUCCCGGGGCUCAACCUCGGAACUGCCUUUGAUACUGCGGGUCUUGAGUCCGAUAGAGGUGGGUGGAAUUCCUAGUGUAGAGGUGAAAUUCGUAGAUAUUCGCAAGAACACCAGUGGCGAAGGCGGCUCACUGGCUCGGUACUGACGCUGAGGUGCGAAAGCGUGGGGAGCAAACAGG
rnacentral:rRNA from 1 species